UCUCUCCAAAAUGCGACACCUGAGGGCGCCCCAGCGUCACUUGGAAAAUGUGGGGACGUGCAGUCCUGAUGGCUCACGCAUCCGUUCUGGAGCCGUGCGCCACUCGCACUCUGGGCUCCGGACAGAACGCCUCUAUUGGCAGUGGUUUUGCACUGAACAUGGAAUCAAAGACAGAUGAAGAGAGAGUUUCCUUAAGAGAUGAGUAUAUGUGUGGGAGGAAAAAACUGGAAUGGAACCGACUGAGGUUUCAGAAAUAAAGUGGGAUAGACUCUCCACAAGGAAAGCGUCUAGUUCCAGCCACUGUGUGUUUCAAACCUGCACUUUCACGUGGGAAAUAAACCUGUGUGCCCAGAAAGUGAUGGACUGAGCCUCCCAUACUGACAGUACCCACCGCAUGCCAUCUGCCUGACAGAAACGUAGACAGGACAAGAAGGAAGGAGAGGCGGUGAGGUAGUUCUCCCGUUGGCCACCAGGGGACGCGUCAGCUCUUGACGCCCUGGUCCCGGGCGGUGUGUGGGGAGCGCCGUUCCAGCGGCGUAAUAAGG